UUUUGUGUUUUUAUUUUAUGGUUACUGCUAAAAUUAAAAAACAGAAAAUCUUCCCGUUUGUGCUCUUUAAAGUAAAACGUACACCGUGGUCGGCAACCUCUUGGCCUCUUCCUACUCGACACACGGUACCUGGUGAUAUUACAGCUUAUCUUGCUGAAGCAAUUCAUAAUUUGGGUAUUGCUGUUCAAAACAUUGUUGAUGUGAACGAUUUACCGAUGGAGCAAUCAGGCACACCAUUUCUCGGAUACGCUAGGUUUCCGGAUCUGACUGAUCCGGAUCACAACUGACCACAACUGAGUGUGCAUCCCAUAACGAUACAAGCUUCCACAGUUCCAGACAGCUGAAGGUGUCCGACAUCCUUAUAUUUAAGCGCAUGGUUCCCCAAAGCAAAAACCCCAAACAACGCAUAGUUCAAAUGCUGCCAAAAGCACUGCUUUCGAAAGUGGAUUGCAGUCAGUCGCUAGUGGAUUGAACCCCGUUCGGUUCUUCAACAACAUCGUCGGCCAUGUAUACCUGAUUUAUAAUGCGAAAACGCAAGGAUCGUCUUCUGGCAGAAACACCCCAUGUGACGCCAUCAUCCAGUUCCCGAUCUCGAUUUUCUGGGGCUUUAUCCAAAAUGACAUCCUUCUUGGCUUCACUGAAUCCCGGCCGAUGGGGACACCAGUCGUCAUCUUCUCCGUCGCACUAUUUGAAUUCAUCCUUUGCGAAGGACGGUUCAAAUGCAUUGGCUAAGAGUCAGUCUAAUUCUGACAACAGUAAUUGCUGCUGUUAACCGAGAAAAGACAAGUCAGUGAAUCGCAUCACCUUCGUCAAUCGUUACUCGACGGAUGGCGUUGCGGCAACAAGUAGUGCGGAACAUCCGGCUUGUUCGAUUCUAUCCAAGUAGACGGCGUUCAUGAAAAGAGAUAAAAAGCUAGAUGAAAACCAGAGUAACUGCAUGUCAGCUCAGAAAGAGCUUCAAGAUACGAUCGAAAGUGACUUCAAAGGCAGACGAAAUGGCAAACCCCUACGGUUUGAUGCGUGUCAUGUUGAGCUACAAGGUCUUUGCCAACCUUCCGCUGGAUGCUAACUUCUCGUGCUAUGUGACGUGACCAUUAACCGUGCAUCGUUCAUUGUCUUCGUGCCAAAGUUAAAUGGAUGCGUUAGACAGUUUCAGCAGUUCCCAGUCAACGUGCAUAACUUUUCAGCUGACUUUGGAAGCCAUUCGAAAACAGUAUUCUUAAUUUUUUCAAUACGUACCAGCUGUAGAUAAAGCCUUUUUCUCGAAUGAAAUAAUUCAGACAUUAAGUGAUUAUGUGUAUCUAGCAGUAUCUUACUUUCAACGACACCCCGAGUGUGCACAAAUCUACGUCAAUGAAUGGAAGGCGCACCGUUAAGAUAGAUUAAUUAAAUUAAAUUAAAACUUAAUUUAGAAAAAAAAAAUAUUAAAUUGAAAUUAAAUUUAACAUUUCAUAAGACGAGUUAGAACUAUCUCAUCCAUUUCCACCACUUGAUUGUAACUUCAACAUUAACACCGUCUUCAGUGCCUCGUACUAAACUCAGUGUCUUUUCAUGCACUAUUCAUGCGCUAUACAAUCUAUUAAAAUUUAAUUGAAUUAAAAUUAAUAGGGAUAAAUCAAAAUUAAACCAAAAGUGAAGAAGAUUAAAUUUGAAUUAAAUUCAAAUUAAUUUUACAGUAUGAUUUUUUGUUCUAUGAUAUAUUGUAUUAUAGGAAAAAAAUCCACAUUUCCUGUGAGAUGCAAAAAAUG